rnacentral:rRNA from 1 species
GCACAAGCGGUGAGCAUGUGGUUUAAUUCGACGCAACGCGAAGAACCUUACCAGGGCUUGACAUCCCCUGACCGCGUAUGAAAGUACGUUUUCACCCUCGGGUGACAGGGAGACAGGUGGUGCAUGGUUGUCGUCAGCUCGUGUCGUGAGAUGUUGGGUUAAGUCCCGCAACGAGCGCAACCCCUACGUUUAGUUGCUAACAGGUGAAGCUGAGCACUCUAGACGAACUGCCGUUGACAAAACGGAGGAAGGUGGGAUGACGUCAAAUCAUCAUGCCCCUUAUGUUCUGGGCUACACACGUGCUACAAUGGCCGGUACAGACGGACGCAAAGCCGCGAGGUGGAGCAAAUCCUAAAAAGCCGGUCUCAGUUCGGAUUGCAGGCUGCAAUUCGCCUGCAUGAAGUCGGAAUCGCUAGUAAUCGCAGGUCAGCACACUGCGGUGAAUACGUUCCCGGGCCUU